rnacentral:lncRNA from 1 species
UUAAGAUUGGACCUUCUAGUUUAAAUGCCGAUCUUUCGUGCUUGGCAGAUGAAUGUAACAGGCUGUUCGAAUGUGGAGCAGACUACCUUCACCUGGAUGUUCUGGAUAGCCAUUUUGUGCCAAAUUUGACAUUUGGUGCUGACCUUUGGUAAAAUGUUUGAGAAAGAAAGUUCCAAAUGCCUUUUUUGAUAUGCAUAUGAUGGUUGCCAAUCCAGAGAAGUGGGUGGAUGACAUGGCAGAUGCAGGGGCUGACCAGAACACCUUUCACUUUGAAGCAACAGGUCAGGCAUGAUUGAGCUUAGAAUUUAUUGAUCAAAAAUUAUUUAAAUUUGAUUGACUGAUUGACCUAUAGUAGAACAAUUAACUUGCAAAUCCACUCUAAAUUCCGAAUCUUAAUAAAAUUAAAUGCAUUUCCAGUGGACUUGAUUAACCAAAUCAAAAAGGCUGGCAUGAAGGUCCUGUAGUUGAUUUCCACAAAAUUUAGUACCUUGAUAGAAUUUUAUGAAGUUGAUUGAAGCACAUCCAUAUGAUGUUCAUUUCAUCCCAUUUAAUAUAAAUUGUUAGCAUUUAUUAGGAAUACCUGUUUUUUUUUUGUCUUGCAUCUGGCUCUCAAACUCUACCAAAUAAACUAUGAUAGACAGAUUAAUUCUCCUUUGAAAUGUUCCUGUGUUCCCCUGUACAUGUGAAAUAGUGGAUUAAGUUGAUUAUGCAUUUAUUUAAAAUUAUAUAGUGACACUGAGGAGUUUUUUCCAAUCACCUUCUCUUUGGAUAGCUCCCAGUAAAACAAUUUCUUUUUCAUCUCUUUUGUUCUAAAAGUACAUUUUACAAUAUAAACAACUCUCAUAAUUAAUAUUUUGGUUUGUGGUCAUUUUGAUGCACAUUUACAGGGGUUUCAUUAAAGGCCAGUAACUGGCAGUCUUCCACCACCUGUGAGACCUCU